AGUGAAGCGGGAUGAGCUCAAAUUUAAAAUCUGGCUGGUUUACUAGUCCGAAUUGUAGUUUAAAGAAGCGUUUUCGGUGGCAGCCUGGGUAUAAAUCCUUUGGAAUAGGGUAUCAUAGAGGGUGAGAAUCCCGUCUUUGACUCAGUGCAUGCUACUAUGUGAUACGUUUUCAAAGAGUCGAGUUGUUUGGGAAUGCAGCUCAAAAUGGGUGGUAAAUUUCAUCUAAAGCUAAAUAUUGGCGAGAGACCGAUAGCGAACAAGUACCGUGAGGGAAAGAUGAAAAGAACUUUGAAAAGAGAGUUAAAUAGUGCGUGAAAUUGUUGAAAGGGAAACGUUUGACACCAGUCAUGCGGGUGGAAAAUCAGUCUUUUGGGGUGGGGAGUGGUAGGAGUUCAGACCGCAAGGCUGGCUUUUGCUUCAUCUCUGUCCUAAAGGAUGCACUUUUUCAUCUGCAGGUCAACAUCAGUUUCUUCUGCUGGACAAAACUCCGAGAGAAGGUAGCAGCUUAGGCUGUGUUAUAGCUCUGGAGCGAUACAGUGGAGGGGACUGAGGUUUUCGCAGUGUGUGCUCUCGGGCAAGGUCGACUGGGUGCUAUGUGAUCGUUCGGUGUACAAUGCAUGCAUUUUGCGCUGUGUCUUUUGCAUACUCGCCUGAAUCGACUCUUCCACGCUUAGGAUGUUGACUUAAUGGUUUUAAACGACCCGUCUUGAAACACGGACCAAGGAGUCUAACAUAUAUGCAAGUGUUUGGGUGGCAAACCCAUACGCGUAAUGAAAGUGAACGUAGGUGCGAUCCGCAAGGUGCAGCAUCGACCGAUCUUGAUAUUUUUGGAUAGAUUUGAGUAAGAGCAUAUAUGCUGGGACCCGAAAGAUGGUGAACUAUGCCUGAAUAGGGUGAAGCCAGAGGAAACUCUGGUGGAGGCUCGUAGCGAUUCUGACGUGCAAAUCGAUCGUCAAAUUUGGGUAUAGGGGCGAAAGACUAAUCGA
rnacentral:rRNA from 2 species